rnacentral:misc_RNA from 1 species
UACAGAGGGCCCGAGCGUUAAUCGGAAUCACUGGGCUUAAAGCGUACGUAGGCGGACCUGAAAGUGCUUUGUGAAAUCCCACGGCUCAACCGUGGAAUUGCUCGGUAUACUACAGGUCUUGAGGUAGGUAGAGGUUAUCGGAACUCUAGGUGGAGCGGUGAAAUGCGUAGAUAUCUAGAGGAACGCCAAAGGUGAAGACAGGUAACUGGGCCUAUCCUGACGCUGAGGUACGAAAGCGUGGGGAGCGAACGGG